rnacentral:misc_RNA from 1 species
AAAGGAAACAGAAUUUACCUACUUUGGAUCACAUCCGAAGGCUGCCAUGUACCUCCUAUGGAUGAUUAGGUCCAUGUAGCUCUUAUAAAACUAUAAACAUAUAUACGCUAAACUUAAUUUUAAAUGUUCGCUUGAUUCGAUUAGCUAUAUAACUAUUAAACUUUCACUCUUCAUGUGUCAUCUGAAAGUCUUUUAACAUUCUACCAAAAUUUUGGCAACACCUCGACCAUAAGAUGGCUACUUCCCAGUUAAAAAUAAAAUAGAAUGCAACUUAAUCUCAACAUGCAAUUCAAAAAUAAAAUUUCCUCUCCAGGCCUCCAAAACGUACAUAUAUACAUACAAUCUAAAACUUCUAUAUCACAUUAAAGAAAUAUAAAAUUUAUCCUAUCACCAAACACUAUAAAAUCAUUAAGCUUGAACUCAAAGUGAGUCAUCAAUAAAAUAAAAAUACAACAUCACAGAUAUUUAUACAAGGAAAUUUCAUCCACAAAUUUUCACUCACUCAUCAAGUGUAAGCAAUUAGCUAUACGUGAUUAGGAGUUGAGAUUUGUAGACUUUGAAAACAGAUAAAGCCGAAAUUCAAGAAGAAUGAUAACAUAGAGAAAUUUGUCAACUAUUCACAUAGAUAGGGCUAAAAUAGGGAAUUAAAGGCAAAUCUUCUAUCACGUCUCUGAAUGUUGAGAAAUAGCCAAGUUUAUCAGUAAUGGCCACAGAUGCAUCAUCAGAGCAUAAUUAUAAUCAAUAAAAAAAAUGUAGCAAAGAAACAAAGAAAAAUAUAUUAAAUUAAUAGCAUCAAAAUUUAUUAAAUAACAAAGACACAGAAAGAAGGAAUAACUCAUAUAUUGACAGUUCACCUCAUUCAUCUAUUUUGGAACUCCAAAAAGAUCAACUGCCCACUCUAGUCCUUCAACCAGAAAUUUUAACCAGCAUUCAAUUGCAAAUUUGCUCUUCAUUUACACAUUCUUCAACUAAAGUUUUAUGGUUUCAUCAUCUCUUCUUUGUUUAUUCCUUUGCAUGAAAUUCUACUUUAUAAAUAAAUUUCACUCAAGUACUCG